AGCUAGUUGGUGGGGUAAUAGCCUACCAAGGCGAUGAUCGGUAGCUGGUCUGAGAGGACGAUCAGCCACACUGGGACUGCGACACGGCCCAGACUCCUACGGGAGGCAGCAGCAAGGAAUUUUGCGCAAUGGGGGAAACCCUGACGCAGCAACGCCGCGUGGGCGACGAAGGCCUUCGGGUUGUAAAGCCCUUUUCUAGGGGAAGAAGUUCUGACGGUACCUUAGGAAGAAGCCCCGGCUAACUACGUGCCAGCAGCCGCGGUAAUACGUAGGGGGCGAGCGUUGUCCGGAUUUAUUGGGCGUAAAGAGCGCGUAGGCGGUACGUCUAGUCAGAUGUGAAAUCUCCCGGCUUAACUGGGAGGGUGCGUCUGAUACUGGCGAACUGGAGUGCGGCAGAGGAGAGUGGAAUUCCCGGUGUAGUGGUGAAAUGCGUAGAUAUCGGGAGGAACACCAGUGGCGAAGGCGGCUCUCUGGGCCGUAACUGACGCUGAGGCGCGAAAGCGUGGGGAGCGAACUGAAUUAGAUACUCAGGUAGUCCACGCUGUAAACGAUGGACACUAGGUGUGGGGGGUAUCGACCCCCUCCGUGCCGGAGCUAACGCAAUAAGUGUCCCGCCUGGGGAGUACGGUCGCAAGACUAAAACUCAAAGGAAUUGACGGGGGCCCGCACAAGCAGCGGAGCGUGUGGUUUAAUUCGACGCAACGCGCAGAACCUUACCAAGGCUUGACAUGCAGAUGCAAGCCGGGGAAACUCGGCCCUCCGCAAGGACAUCUGGACAGAUGCUGCAUGGCUGUCGUCAGCUCGUGCCGUGAGGUGUUGGGUUAAGUCCCGCAACGAGCGCAACCCCUGUCGCUAGUUACUCUCUCUAGCGAAACUGCCGAGACAAACUCGGAGGAAGGUGGGGAUGACGUCAAGUCAGCACGGCUCUUACGCCUUGGGCUACACACACGCUACAAUGGGUAGUACAGAGGGUCGCGAGACCGCGAGGUGAGCUAAUCCCACAAAACUACCCUCAGUUCAGAUUGCAGGCUGAAACUCGCCUGCAUGAAGGCGGAGUUGCUAGUAACCGCAGGUCAGCACACUGCGGUGAAUAUGUUCCCGGGCCUUGUACACACCGCCCGUCACGUCAUGAAAGCUGGUAACACCUGAAGUCGCUGAGCUAACUCGCAAGAGAGGCAGGUGCCGAGGGUGGGACUAGUGAUUGGGACGAAGUCGUAACAAGGUAGCCGUAGCGGAAGCUGCGGCUG
rnacentral:rRNA from 1 species